UAACUUUUUGGGUAUAUUCAUAGCAAUCCUACUGACCUUACAAUUUAGCCCAUGUAAUAACUAUUUCUUUGGCUUUGUCUCCUUUAGACUCAAAACUAUAUUGCUACCAAGAUGACAAUGCCAGGUGCCUAUCAAAGGCCAUUAGAUAGACCUUCUGUAGAGUAACUAACUGCCGAUCACAACUACAACCUUCUUCAGCUGGAAGUAGCCAGAACAGUCUUCACCCUUUGCCUCCUCACAGCAGUUAGGGGGACUUCUUGAGUGGGGGAAUAUUAUAGACAGUGAAUUCGUGGUACAGAUAAAUGGGCUGAAGCCACCCACAGAGGAGCUGACCUGCCCUUGGAGCCACAGUUCCAGGGCCCUCAGACCAGUGCUUUUUCCACAGCACCACACAGGAGUCUA
rnacentral:lncRNA from 1 species